rnacentral:rRNA from 1 species
AAGUCGUAACAAGGUUUCCGAAAUCGGGACAGUCAAUUCAUAGAUUCUUUCUGCGUACACUUGUUCGAAGCCUUGGCUGCAACGACUCUAAAUAAACGCAACUGGUCUGCGAUCGUGAAUAGCUUUGCAGGCGACACCGUUCAAAUGCUGGAAUUGAAACACCUGCAGAUUGCAAGGCCAAUUCAUAUCAGCUGCCCGACUUUCAUGCGAAAAUCGGGUUCACAGAUCAAUCAACGGUGAUCAUCCUUGAAGGACAGUUAACCGCCGAAUGAACAUUCGUCAUUGGUUUACUUGUACCUCCUCGGUGAUUGAGAUAUGACCGGUCCCGGCUGUAAUCGUCGUGGAAAAUACGUUCCGUAGGUGAACCUGCGGAAGGAUCAUUACCGAGAGUGGAGCCUAGCUCCGGGGGGCCAACCGCCCCCACCUCUUCACCCAUGUGGACAUUUCCGCGUUGCUUUGGCGAGCUCAGGGGCAUCCCCCGAGGCCAAUCGCCAGAGACCCAAUCAAUUGUCAUUUAUAAUUGUCAUCUGAGCAAAAACCAUAAUCGUUAAAACUUUCAACAACGGAUCUCUUGGCUCUGGCAUCGAUGAAGAACGCAGCGAAAUGCGAUAAGUAAUGUGAAUUGCAGAAUUCAGUGAAUCAUCGAAUCUUUGAACGCACAUUGCGCCCCUUGGUAUUCCGAGGGGCAUACCUGUUCGAGCGUCAUUGCUCANCUCAAGCCUGGCUUGUCUUGGGCGUGCGUCCCGCGGGACGGGCCCGAAAACAGUGGCGGUGCAGUUGCGACCGGCAGCGUAGUAAUAAUCUCUCGCUCGACGCGUCGCGCUGUGCCUGCCAGCCAACCGUGAUGAUUUCUCAUCGGUUGACCUCGGAUCAGGUAGGGAUACCCGCUGAACUUAAGCAUAUCAAUAAGCGGAGGAAAAGAAACCAACCGGGAUUGCCUCAGUAACGGCGAGUGAAGCGGCAACAGCUCAAAUUUGAAAUCUGGCCCUCGCGGGGUCCGAGUUGUAAUUUGUAGAGGGCGUUUCGGGUGCGGUGCCGGUCUAAGUUCCUUGGAACAGGACGUCAUAGAGAGUGAGAAUCCCGUCUGCGAGUCGGCCACCAACCCCGGGUGAAACCCCUUCGACGAGUCGAGUUGUUUGGGAAUGCAGCUCAAAAUGGGUGGUAAAUUUCAUCUAAAGCUAAAUACCGGCCAGAGACCGAUAGCGCACAAGUAGAGUGAUCGAAAGAUGAAAAGCACUUUGGAAAGAGAGUUAAAAAGUACGUGAAAUUGUUGAAAGGGAAGCGCUUGCGACCAGACCUGCCCCCGGGCGAUCAUCCGCCAUUCGUGGCGGUGCACUCGCCCGGAUGCAGGCCAGCAUCGGUUCGGGCGGCGGGACAAAGGACUCGGGAACGUAGCUCUCUCCGGGGAGCCUUAUAGCCCGGGUUGUCAUGCCGCCCGCCUGGACCGAGGACCGCGCUUCGGCUAGGAUGCUGGCGUAAUGGUCGUAAGCGACC